rnacentral:lncRNA from 10 species
GAAAAAAGUUGCAAUUCCUUUCCUCCACUGUGAGACAAACCCCAGCCACAUCUCCAGCACCCAAGAACUUCCAAAUGCCUGAACCGCAGCGGCCAGGCGUUCCUCCAGAACCUCCUCCCCCAGGAGCUUGCUACAAGUGCCAGAAAUCUGACCACCAGGCCAAGGAAUGCCUGCAGCCCAGGAUUCCUCCUAAGCCAUGUCCCAUCUGUGCAGGACCCCACUGGAAAUCGGACUGUUCAACUCACCUGGCAGCCACUCCCAGAGCCCCUGGAACUCUGGCCCAAGGCUCUCUGACUGACUCCUUCUCGGCUUAGUGGCUGAAGACUGACGCUGCCCGAUCGCCUCAGAAGCCCCGUAGACCAUCACGGACGCUGAGCUUCGGGUAACUCUCACAGUGGAAGGUUAUCAAGCUUUGGAAAUGACACUGUGUUAAUUCUGGAAAAUGUUGUUCCAGGUGCUCCUUCCUUUACACAAUGCUAACAUUUGCAUGGAAAAGCUGGAUGAGUGAUUAAAUAAUUAAAAUAUCUCUAUAAUUUGAAUCUUAUCUAAUGGUGAAUUCCAUGGCAGAAUUAUGGAGAAUGUCUAGGCUGUUUAUGAUUAACGAGAUUUGUUGUUAUAGUGUAGAGCCUGCUUUCAGUAUGUGUUUGGAUUCGAAGUGGCAUGAUUCCAAAUCUGGUUUUACUCACAUCCUUCCUGCAUUUUCAAAUAGACUGAACAUUAACACUGCAAGUGAAUUGCUGAAGAAAUAAUUACUGAGGUAUUUUAAAGCACACUUCUGCCAUUAAGUGGAACUGAAAAAAAAAAUGGAAGAGAUAUAUGUUUUAAGCAAUACAGGCUUAAGUAUGAACAAAGAGGGUUCAAAAGAUGAAAGCAGUACUAAUGCAACUUUUCACUUUUUGUAUUUUUUGGGAUAUACUUUUGGCUCUGUAGCCAAAGGAUAGCCUCUCGAUUUAACUAUUAGGAAAUACUAAAAGUAAACAGAAAUACUUAUAAUCUUCCAUUUUCUUUCCUAUUAAGAAAUAGACAAUUGUUUCUAAUGCUCAGACCUGAGUGGAUCUGCUGCAACCCAAGACUGAACUGAGGAGCACAAAAGAGGGUAUGUCAGAAGAGAGAGACAGAGAGAGAGAGAGACAGAGAGAUGAUACAGGACUCUGAAAUCUUUACAUUUAGCUUUGUGAAAUCACAAGAUUUUUGUAACAUCUCUUCCAGGUAGACACAUGCACACAUACCAAAUAUUCCAAAGAAACCUAUAAUUUAAAAAAUUAUCUUUGGGAUUUGAUUAUUGUAUCACCACAGCUCUCUGUUAGCAUAGAUAAUUGAGGGGUGCUUGUGAACACUCGUGACUGAAAAUGCCACCAUUGUUGAGGAAAUUAGGUUCUGCGAAAUGGCUUCAUGGUUUGGCUCCACAUUAAGGAUGAGGUGUACAAGAAUGAAAAGGGAAAUAAUUUCUGAAUAUAUUUUCUUCAUUGCUGUGACUUAUUACUUACUGCAUAUUGGCCCUUUGGCUUUUAUACUAUAAAAAAACAUAAGUUCGGUUAUAUUCUGCUGACCAAAGGAAAUCAUGACAUAAACUGCU